rnacentral:rRNA from 1 species
GUCUGCGACCAUGUCACCCUGAACAAGCCCGAUCCUUUCUGAUCGCGGAAGCUAAGCAGGGUCAGGCCUGGUUAGUACUUGGAUAGGAGACCACCUAGGAAGACCGGGUGCUGUAGGCA